ensembl:misc_RNA Y_RNA Y RNA
GGCCAGUCUGAAGAUAGUGAAGUAUCUCAGUUGAUUGUUCACAGUUCGUUACAGAUCUUACUUCUUGUUCUGCCCUUCCCCCUUCUCACUACUGCACUUGACUAAUUAAAA